ensembl:lncRNA
UGGACAUCCAUGCUCUAGAAGGAGCAUUUUGUCCUUAUGCUUGAACUACUUGUUUUUCUUGUGAAGAGGGAGCUUGAAGCCUAACUCUCAGACAGCUUAAAUCUCAUGUGUCCUCCGUAUAAGUGAGAGCCUUCCCUGAGCUAUAGGAGAGCCAUCUCUUUCUUGCUUGUGUUCUGUCUUCUGCAGUUUAGGCUUGAAAAACUUAGGAAUCUUAGUAGGCUGGAGCUGAAAGGUGGCAACUGAUCCUUAUACUGUAUUCUACUGACUUCCUGUCUUUUGAGUGCUUUGGUGAGAAGUUGAACAGUUAACUUAAUUGUCUUAUUGUAUUGUAACUAGGACAGAGUAACAAUAAAAGGUGAGUACUUCAGGAAGGAUCCUUUUGCCUUAGCAGGGAAACCUCUGUUUUCAAAGUCUAGUUAGAAGUUAGUUAAACUUUGAGAUCGAAAUAAUUUUUGUUCUGAAAUUAAUUGUAACCCAAGCUGGUAGUGCAGAAAUAACUGGAAUUGUGCUUAACUUUUUGUUGCAGCUUUAGCUUAAGAAUACAGUUCCUUUGGGGAGGAAGGGCAAACUCCUUUCAAACUAACUAUAUAUUUUAAGUAUUUUUCUAUUUUAGCUUUUUAUUUUUUAUUUUAUUUUAUUUUUUGCAGCAUAAAAACUUAAAACAUCGUAGGAAAAUAAAAUCUUUAUUAAGAUUUUAUGUAAGAUUUAUAUAAGAUUGCUAUAUUCACUUUAUUUGUGGUACACAGUGCUUCCUUCGACUUGUAUACCUUAAGCUUUUGAGCAAUUUAUUUCACCUGUGCCAGGAAUUCCUAAAUGAACACAGACUGUAUCCUGACAAAAGGCACAGUGUUCAUGAGGUUUCAUUGAACUUUAUUACUAAUUCGAUAUCUUACCUUCAAAUUGCAUUAAUUACUAGAUAGUCCUUUCCAAAACUUGCACGUCUUGCCAUACAGGGAAAAGCAAAACAACCUAUUAAUCGUCCCUCUCAUAUUUUAUGCUAUCACUGAACAAGCUUUAUUUACCAUUACCAAUAUUGUUGUUAAGCGAGCAUCAGCUAUUACCUGAUUUAAUGCAUUCCUUUAUAUCUGGGAUUUUUGUGACUCAGUCAUAUUGAAGAGCGUACCUCAUUGUUCCGACUUUAGAUACAUCUGAUCAGUCUAUUGAUCUCCUCAGUUCAAAUGUUUGUAACAUACACUUUUUAUUUUCAUUUAAAGUAGAGAUCAUCCAGAGCCAAACACGCAGUAGAUUUUAUAAUGUAGAAUGUUAUGUUUGUUCACGUAUCACUUUACUAUGCGUUUAGUUGGCUUUAUUUUUUUAACACAUACUUCUGUCUUUUCAGUAGAUCCACCGUAGUCUUCUCAAAUCAGCAGCUGGGUAACAAGUUGGGUGUUGACUUCAUUUUCUGAGCUGGUAGCAGAGAAUUUUUUGGAUCCAUAUGAGUGAGAUAUGAAGGAAAAAAAUAGUAUGAUUUUAGAGGUCAUUUUGUGAGUAACAUUGGCUGCCUAAUGAAGAAUACAGUUCUCUAAGCAGCAAAAUAAUACCUUUAAAGAUGACUAUAAAAGCACCUAGAGAAUUUCUAUGUUGCUGGGUUUUUUGUUUUUUUUUUUUUAAUUUAUUAAAAAUAAAAUGAAAAAGAAUGAGAGAAGCAAGCAUUUUCCAGGUGUUGGCAAUAUUCACUCUAUUCCCAUUAUCCUUGUUUUAUUGGUGCUAUAAAUCCUGGUGGAAUAACGUGCCUUUCUGCAAAACCUCAAUUAGAAUUUUCUACAGUUUUUGCCCACUUGAAUGGCUGUCACUUUUGUUUCUCCCAUGCUUUUUCUUCGUGUGUACUUUACUGAGAGAAACUAUUUCAUACACUGAAAUACUGCUUCCAUUCAUGCAUGCAUGAUUUAUUACAUUAAAAAGAGUUGUGACUUCAAUCCUGUUUACCUGCCUGACCUGGCCAUGGUCUUGUUUACCUACAAAGAUCUGUUAGUUCUGCAUUUUCUCCUGUGCUGCCCUGGUGCUCUGUCAGUGCUGUCCUCUGCUGACAAGUGCCAUGCCUCUUUCCAUUCCAACGCACCCUGUUUCCUAGGAGUGUGAUUGUUUUUCAUGGCUCUCCUUGAAUGAAAUCUCUAGUUGUUCUCGGGUACAUUUAGAAGAUAGUUGGCCUCUAUAUUUUGCAAGUUGUUUAAGUCUCUUUGUUGCAGAUAAUCCAAUGCCUUAAAUAAA